GUUUAAACACGGACAACGUGCCUCCCAUUCUACCAACGUCUAGUAACGCGGAUUAACCUAAAUGCCAUAUUUUUUCGUUUACUAGUUCAAACGCAUGAUGAUGCUGAUCGACGUCAUGAAAUAAAUAAAUAUAUAUGUAUAAUGCGAUAAAGAGAAAGAGGCAAACACAAUGACACGUUCGAUAUAAACGAUUAGUUACGGAAUUUUCUGGCGAUAAAUUCAAGUUCGUUACGUAUUAAAUAAAAAUUACGUUUAUUUAAUAAUCACCGUAAGAAGCUUUAUAUUGAAAUUAAGAUCAAAUUCAUGUAUUAAAAAUGAGAAAAUAAUGUAUCUGAUUAUUAUCGUAAUAAAGAUAAACUAAUGGUUAUGCACAGCAA